UAAACUUGAGAUGAGCUUUUAUUCAUCGUCCCAAAAAUACUUAAAAUCGUCAAAAAAAAAGUUGAAAUUACAUCUCUAGUCUUUUCCUUCCUUUUCCCUAAACCACCACCACCUACGUAUACGAAAUUCUACUACAGAUGAAUUAUCACAGAAUCUGACAUAUUCUCAUCCUAACAAGAAAAUGCACUCGCAAUUGGUAGAUUUAAGUGGCACAUACGAUACACCAAUUGGCUAUGAAAAAUUUCGAGAACCUAUGGACACACACUACACAGUGAUGAUAAUGAACCAGAACCCAAAGUUGUAAGGAGGGGAAGACUGCCAACGAAGAAUUCAAUUCAAAGAGACCAACAGGCAACAGGUAGACCUCCACUAGAGAGGGGCUACCUCUGACUUUCCUGAACAACUGCUGGUGGAACUACAAAUCCAUCUACAACAGUAACAACUUUUACUUCUGUGUUUUUAUCAGUUAUGAAGAAAGUUUUGUUGCGUUUAUACAGCUCAAAAUAGUAACAGCAACUACAACAGUAACAACGUUUACUUCUACUAUCUAGAAUUCUGAAAGUGAUAUAAGGUCUACAACUUGUGUUA